rnacentral:sRNA from 1 species
AGUCUCAAAGCGGAGACUCUUGGGCUGCCUGCAGACCAAUGUGGCUCUGCUUUCGAGACGACAACAGGUAUGAGGAAGUAAGGCGAUAGCCUGGAUUCCGAAUACCGGUUAGGAUUCCGGGAGUGCACAGCACGGAGCUUUC